UAUAUUAUAUUAUAUUAUAUUAUAUUAUAUUAUAUUAUAUUAUAUAUUAAAUAAUAUAAUUGAUAUAUUAUAUUAUAUUAUAUUAUAUUAUAUUAUAUUAUAUUAUAUUAUUAUUAUUAUUUGUUUUCAUAGGGUAUGAUUUCUGCCAAAGGAACCUGAAGCAGAGAGGGGAUAGAGAGGAGGAAGAUGGAUUCCUCUACCUACCGGACUUUUUAAAAAUAAAGUCUAUUUAUUUUGGCAGAGGUGGGGGGAGAGCAUGCAUAUGCACACAAGUGGGGGAGGGGCAGAGAGAGAAUCCCAAGUAGGCUCCGAGCUGUUGGUGCAGAGCCAGAUGUGAGGCUCUAUCUCAUGAACCUUGAGAUCAUGACCUGAGCAGAAGUCAGAUGCUUAACUGACUGAGCCACCCAGGCACCCCACCUCUUGGGAUUUUUGAAAGAAGUGAUUCAAGAGGAGUUGAGAGCUCUGACUCCCAAAGCAGACUAUUGGUGUCAAAUCAGACCCCAUCUCUGCUGGCUCACUGCUUAGAUGACCUUGGACAAGCAUCUUAAAUAUAUUUAUAUUUAUAUAUAUAUUUAUAUUAUAAUAUUUAUUGGACAUCUCAUGUGUGCCAAGAAUUGGCUAGGCAUUAGAAAAGAUACUUGAUCAAGACAGGAAUGUGGGGUGUCUGGGUGGCUCAGUUGGUUAAGUGCCCAACUCUUGAUUUUGGCUCAGGUCAUGAUCCCAUGGUCAUGGGAUCCACCCCACAUCAAGCUUGGCACUGAGAGUGGAGCAUGCUUGGUAUUCUGUCUCUCUCUCUCUCUCUCUCUCUCUCUCUCUCUCUCUCUCUCUGUCUCCCUCUGCCCCUCUCAUGCUCUCCAGAAAGAAAGAAAGAAAGAAAGAAAGAAAGAAAGAAAGAAAGAAAGAAAGAAAGAAAGAAAGACAGACAGACAGACAAGGACGAUAUGAAGGCUCUAUCGUGAAUCCUACUUUGAAUCAUCAGAGCGGCCAGUCUCCUCUGUUGUUCACUGCCGCUGUUUGUUUCAGGAUUCCCACCCUAAGGCAGACCUCUAGGAAGCCAACUUUUAAGAAUGGAAAAAAAGACCAUCUCUUUAGCAAAUGGUGCUCGGAGAACUGGACAGCAACAUGCAAAAGAAUGAACCUGGACCACUUUCUUACACCAUACA
rnacentral:lncRNA from 1 species